UUUGACCUCAAAUCAGGCAGGAUUACCCGCUGAACUUAAGCAUAUC
rnacentral:rRNA from 1 species